rnacentral:tRNA from 1 species
GGGGUUAUAGCUCAGUGGUAGAGCGCUUGCCUAGUAUGUGUGAGGCAGUGGGUUCGAUCCUUAGCACCA